rnacentral:rRNA from 1 species
UGCUACAAUGGCGCAUACAGAGGGCAGCCAACUUGCGAGAGUGAGCGAAUCCCAAAAAGUGCGUCGUAGUCCGGAUCGGAGUCUGCAACUCGACUCCGUGAAGUCGGAAUCGCUAGUAAUCGUGGAUCAGAAUGCCACGGUGAAUACGUUCCCGGGCCUUGUACACACCGCCCGUCACACCAUGGGAGUGGGCUGCAAAAGAAGUAGGUAGUUUAACCUUCGGGAGGACGCUUACCACUUUGUGGUUCAUGACUGGGGUGAAGUCGUAACAAGGUAGCGCUAGGGGAACCUGGCGCUGGAUCACCUCCUUAUACGAUGAU